GACGGAGGAUGCAAGUGUUAUCCGGAAUCACUGGGCGUAAAGCGUCUGUAGGCGGUUCGAAAAGUCCACUGUUAAAAUUUGAGGCUUAACUUCAAAGAUGCCGUGGAAACUUUCAAACUAGAGUAUGGUAGGGGUAGAGGGAAUUUCCAGUGGAGCGGUGAAAUGCGUAGAUAUUGGAAAGACCACCGAUGGCGAAGGCACUCUACUGGGCCAUUACUGACACUGAGAGACGAAAGCUAGGGGAGCAAAUGGG
rnacentral:rRNA from 1 species